GUUGCCAGCAUUUAAGUGGGGACUCAGAUGAGACUGCCGGUGACAAACCGGAGGAAGGUGGGGACGACGUCAAGUCAUCAUGGCCCUUAUGUCCUGGGCUACACACGUGCUACAAUGGCCGGUACAGAGUGAAGCGAAACCGCGAGGUGAAGCAAAACGCAGAAAGCCGGUCUCAGUACGGAUUGGAGUCUGAAACUCGACCUCAUGAAGUUGGAAUCGCUAGUAAUCGCGCAUCAGCAUGGCGCGGUGAAUACGUUCCCGGGCCUU
rnacentral:rRNA from 1 species